CCCCUGGAGGACUAGUGGUUAGGCCUCGGCGCUCUCACCACUGCGGCCCUGGUUCAAUUCCCAGCCAGGGAA
rnacentral:tRNA from 1 species